rnacentral:rRNA from 1 species
GAUACUGGCGGACGGGUGAGUAACACGUGGGUAACCUGCCUGUAAGACUGGGAUAACUCCGGGAAACCGGGGCUAAUACCGGAUGCUUGUUUGAACCGCAUGGUUCAAACAUAAAAGGUGGCUUCGGCUACCACUUACAGAUGGACCCGCGGCGCAUUAGCUAGUUGGUGAGGUAAUGGCUCACCAAGGCAACGAUGCGUAGCCGACCUGAGAGGGUGAUCGGCCACACUGGGACUGAGACACGGCCCAGACUCCUACGGGAGGCAGCAGUAGGGAAUCUUCCGCAAUGGACGAAAGUCUGACGGAGCAACGCCGCGUGAGUGAUGAAGGUUUUCGGAUCGUAAAGCUCUGUUGUUAGGGAAGAACAAGUACCGUUCGAAUAGGGCGUACCUUGACGGUACCUAACCAGAAAGCCACGGCUAACUACGUGCCAGCAGCCGCGGUAAUACG